CCCUACCCUCAACCAAAACUGCCUGGCGGGGUUGUUUUGGAGAAAAUUGACGGCUUCUCUUCUUCUUUGAUUUUUGUUCUUCCCCGCACCCGGAGCUUGCAGGACUCAACACUGGCAGAAGGGAACACUGUCCAAAACUUGGAAGAUCACCCCUUCAGAGGAAACAAGGCCAGGAGGUGGUCUGGGAUGCGUUGUCACAGGAGCCAGGAUAGGCAGAAAAGACAGUCUAUCCACACCAGAAGGUUCUCAUUCUGAAGAGAUAUGAAAGUGACCUGUGGGAUUUUUCUGAAGUGCUGCUGGCUGGGAACUGCUGGAGGUGCAGUGGGUCUUACCCUAGUGUGUGGAGCUAAGUGAUUUCUGAUCUCUGAAGGCAAGGAAGCUCCUGGAGUGGCAUCAAGCGUGGGUGACAGGCAGCGUGGACGAGCAGUGGGCAGUGAGGCCUCUUCCCUGAUGGUUCAAGUGCACAUGACUGAUGAAUGGGUACCACGGGGUCGGAGCAUUGCAGAGGUAUAUUUAGCUGUUACCUAGGACUCAGUCCACUCAUCUCCCACCCACUGGGACACCCAUUGGAUGGCAUGCAGUGGAUACCAGGGAAGGAGGCUGUGGACCUGCUCUCAGGGCCUGGGGUGCCUGUGGCCGAUCCUAGCUGCAUCCACUUAUAA
rnacentral:lncRNA from 1 species